rnacentral:rRNA from 1 species
UACGGGGGGGGCAAGCGUUGUUCGGAAUUACUGGGCGUAAAGGGUUCGUAGGUGGCCAACUAAGUCAGACGUGAAAUCCCUCAGCUUAACUGGGGAACUGCGUCUGAGACUGGAUGGCUUGAGUGCAGGAGAGGAACGCGGAAUUCCAGGUGUAGCGGUGAAAUGCGUAGAUAUCUGGAGGAACACCGGUGGCGAAGGCGGCGUUCUGGACUGUUUCUGACACUGAAAAACGAAAGCCAGGGGAGCAAACGGG